GUUGUCUACAGGUUCUCACGUUGUUGUCUGCAGGUUCUCACGUUGUUGUCUACAGGUUCUCACGUUGUUGUCUACAGGUUCUCACGUUGUUGUCUACAGGUUCUCACGUUGUCUACAGGUUCUCAUGUUGUUGUCUGCAGGUUCUCACGUUGUUGUCUACAGGUUCUCACGUUGUUGUCUACAGGUUCUCACGUUGUCUACAGGUUCUCACGUUGUUGUCUACAGGUUCUCACGUUGUUGUCUACAGGUUCUCACGUUGUCUACAGGUUCUCACGUUGUUGUCUACAGGUUCUCACGUUGUUGUCUACAGGUUCUCACGUUGUUGUCCACAGGUUCUCACGUUUUUGUCUACAGGUUCUCACGUUGUUGUCUGCAGGUUCUCACGUUGUUGUCUACAGGUUCUCACGUUGUUGUCUGCAGGUUCUCACGUUGUUGUCUACAGGUUCUCACGUUGUUGUGUGUUCUUAUUACUUCUGAGUGUUUUCGUCUGUUUUUUCUUUUGUCUUUCGCCGAACGCAAAGAAACAGAACUUUUCCGAAAUUCUAGCAUUUCCACUAAAACCCAAAAAUUCAAAAGACAACAGGUUGAUGGGAAAUACAGAUUGAGUCGCGUCGGCUUUCGGGGUUUGGGUUGUCGCGUGGGAGCUGUGUUGCAGAUCACGUUAUCUGUGACUUGUUUACUGCUGCUGCUCUGCUUCCUGUCUCCAUCCGCCUCUAAUGUCAUCAUCACCAUCACCAUCAUCAUCAUCAACAUCAUCAUCACCAUCAUCAUCACCAUCAUCACCAUCACCAUCAUCAUCAUCAUCAUCAUCAGGCAGGAAACAGACGAACAUGAGGAAUAUGACCUGUGUGUUUCUGCCUGAUGACAUUAAACAAUUAACGUCCUGAAAUGCUCCGCGACGUUUACAACUCGGAUGUCGCCUCCUGGUCCAGAAAGUGAAUCCAAUGAAGUGUGUGAAGUCUGUAUUCUGUGUACUGACCAGCAGAGGGCGACUCUAUCUGAACGUGACUCUACUUCUCGGUUGAUUCAUAACGUCAGUAAAACAUUUUCCUGAGGAGUUUAUGGUUCAAUCUGU
rnacentral:lncRNA from 1 species